rnacentral:rRNA from 1 species
UGGCGGUGUGCCUACACAUGCAAGUCGAACGAGAAACUCCGGGCUUGCUCGGAGAAGUACAGUGGCGCACGGGUGAGUAACGCGUGGGUAACCUACCCUUGAAUCUGGGAUAACCCCGCGAAAGCGGGACUAAUACCGGAUAUGGUUCCAUAAGCCUCGGCUCUUGGAAUUAAAGGUGACCUCUUCAUGAAAGUUGCCGUUCAGGGACGGGCUCGCGUACCAUUAGCUUGUUGGUAGGGUAAUGGCCUACCAAGGCUACGAUGGUUAGCUGGUCUGAGAGGAUGAUCAGUCACACUGGAACUGGAACACGGUCCAGACUCCUACGGGAGGCAGCAGUGAGGAAUUUUGCGCAAUGGGGGAAACCCUGACGCAGCAACGCCGCGUGAGCGAAGAAGGCCCUCGGGUCGUAAAGCUCUGUCAAGUGGGAAGAAACUAUUCGAUGCAAAUACCAUCGGGUACUGACGGUACCGCUAAAGGAAGCACCGGCUAACUCCGUGCCAGCAGCCGCGGUAAUACGAAGGGC